rnacentral:lncRNA from 1 species
GCGGCCGCUGCAUAAGACCUGCUCCCUCUUCAUGCGCAACAUCGCGCCCAACAUCUCCCGGGCCGAGAUCAUCUCCCUUUGUAAAAGGUACCCAGGCUUUAUGCGGGUGGCGCUCUCAGAGCCCCAGCCAGAGAGGAGGUGAGUAACUCGGUUUUUCCGUCGUGGCUGGGUGACCUUCGACCGCAGUGUUAACAUUAAAGAGAUCUGUUGGAACCUGCAGAACAUCCGUCUCCGGGAGUGUGAGCUGAGCCCUGGUGUGAACAGGGACCUGACCCGGCGCGUUCGCAACAUCAACGGCAUCACCCAGCACAAGCAGAUUGUGCGCAACGACAUCAAGCUGGCGGCCAAGCUGAUCCACACGCUGGAUGACAGGACACAGCUUUGGGCCUCAGAACCAGGGACGCCUCCCCUGCCCACGAGCCUGCCCUCGCAAAACCCGAUCUUGAAGAAUAUCACCGACUACCUGAUCGAGGAAGUAAGCGCCGAGGAGGAGGAGCUGCUGGGGAGCAGCGGGGGCGCUCCUCCUGAGGAGCCUCCUAAGGAAGGGAACCCGGCAGAGAUCAACGUGGAGCGGGAUGAGAAGUUGAUUAAGGUCUUGGACAAGCUCCUCCUUUACCUGCGCAUCGUGCAUUCCUUGGAUUAUUACAACACCUGUGAGUACCCCAACGAGGACGAGAUGCCCAAUCGCUGUGGGAUCAUCCACGUUCGGGGGCCCAUGCCACCCAACCGCAUCAGUCACGGGGAAG